AAAAAGUAACAUACAGUGUAAGAAAUAACAAUGCAAGGCUGUUUUACUGGUAUUUAUGGGACUGUUUUAAUAUUCACAUUUUGUUCGAUGAAGAGCACUGACUAUAAGAAAUUACUGUCUACAGGAAGCAUGCCAGAGGAAUUGUAACCUUUUUCCCUUACCUCAGUGGCCCGUACUCCAAAAAUGAACAUUAUUAUGAUGGCGAGAAUGGCACUGGGUACUUGGCCUGGAGGAUUAAAGCCAUACAGAGAUGCACCGCUAAAGGGAGGCGAUUAUCAUCUGGAGCACCAGGAGAUGGAUCAUCGAGUGAAGACCAGUGUGGUGGACCAACUGUCAGGACGAGAGUUGCAGUUUGUUACAGAGAAGGUGCUGAGUGAGGAUGAGUGCAAGGAUACAAUCGCUCUGAUGAAACAUUCAGCUGAUGAAGACAGUCAAGAAGAAGAUGAAGUUGACAUUUGUUUAUCGACACAGCAUGGUCCUUGACCUCCUGCUGUCAAGCAACAUACUGUCUGUUUUUCCACGUUUCAAAGAUAUCAAAGGCUUGAUCGAACAGGAUUUUGUACUGAUGUUUGGUGAGGAUGUAUCAGGCAGGUUGCUGGAGAGGUGGCCAACAACAUUCAAAAGAAAGAUUAUCCAACAAGGCAGAAAGCUUCCUUCUACCAGUGACCUGAAAGAACUCUUGCUGGCAGCUGACUCACCUGAGGAUGCCACUGAAGUUAGUGCUGACAUUGGCUGGGACAGUGGGACAGGUGGGACAAUAGCAAUUCUAUUGCUAUUACAUCUGAUUCCACCAUCUGGUCAGGGUCGGAAGAGACCAGGAAAGGUGUCAGCUUCUCAAGCAGAAAGGCAUCUUGUGGUCUUCAAGAAGACUGGAACAAAUAUCCAAGAGCACCUUGAUGCCAUCACUACCAGCACUCAACCCUACCUCCUGGCUGUUGGGGUGAAAAAGAAUGACAUCCACUGGUUCUUCAUUAUUCUUGACAAGAAUGCCAUGCCAUGCAAGUCUACCUCUUCACUUGGUUCUUUUGAUGAACUGUUUAAAGCACAUUUUGUGUUUGGCACAUCUUACAACACUAUGCUUCACAACAUGUACACGUUCAUCCAAACCACAGGUUUUAGAAAACAUUUAAAUACCAAACACCUUAACUAUUUUGACCAACAGGCUGACACUGAUGUUAAUCUACAGCCUGAUGUGGCAGUUAAAGAAGUUAGCAC
ensembl:lncRNA